rnacentral:rRNA from 1 species
UACGUAGGGGGCAAGCGUUGUCCGGAAUCAUUGGGCGUAAAGCGCGUGUAGGCGGCCUUGUAAGUCCGUUCUGAAAGCCCGGGGCUCAACCCCGGGAGGCGGAUGGAUACUGCAGGGCUCGAGUACGGAAGAGGCGAGUGGAAUUCCCGGUGUAGCGGUGAAAUGCGCAGAUAUCGGGAGGAACACCAAUGGCGAAGGCAGCUCGCUGGGACGUUACUGACGCUGAGACGCGAAAGCGUGGGGAGCAAACAGG